rnacentral:lncRNA from 1 species
AGAACAUAUAAUAUAUCUAUAAGUCUUGGUGUAUGUUAGAAUGGUUAAUAUAUUAAUUUAAAGAGAGUGGAUUUAAGAAACUUUAUUUUGAAUUUUAUCUUUUUUGAUUAUAAUAUUUUAAAAAAUUAUAAGACCUAAAUGUUUAGUAUGAAGCCUAGAGAAGAGAUUAGAGUCUAAAGAAAAAAAUCUUAACUAGUAGGAGGCUUAUUGGGAGGGAUGAAAGUAAGGUAUGGUUGGAUGAAGAUAAGGAAUGAGAAUCUUCAUUCCUAUUGGUCGAAGGCCAUACCCAAUGGGCUUCAAGGAGGCUAUCCGAGGCCUUAUUAGAGAUUAGGGUUUCUUUUUCAAAGUUAUUUGAGCUUUGGAAGCUAGGAUCAGCAAGUUAGGAAUUUUGGAUACAAAUUGGGUGUAAAUUUUGUAUGAUUUGGAGUUUUUAUGAAGGAUUUAUUGGCACUCAAAGUUAAAGUGUCAAUUUCAUACCUAUUGUCACUCUUUGGGGCAUAACAUAUAUUUAUAGAAAGCAACAAAAGAUUGGCAAUUAGAAUUGCAGAGAAUACUAUUUUGACUAUACUUUUAAUAUUCUAUUU